rnacentral:rRNA from 1 species
CCUACGGGUGGCAGCAGUGGGGAAUAUUGGACAAUGGGCGAAAGCCUGAUCCAGCCAUGCCGCGUGUGUGAAGAAGGCCUCCGGGUUGUAAAGCACUUUCAGUGGGGAAGAAAGCCUUGGGGCUAAUACCCUCGAGGAAGGACAUCACCCACAGAAGAAGCACCGGCUAACUCCGUGCCAGCAGCCGCGGUAAUACGGAGGGUGCGAGCGUUAAUCGGAAUUACUGGGCGUAAAGCGCGCGUAGGCGGUCUGAUAAGCCGGUUGUGAAAGCCCCGGGCUCAACCUGGGAACGGCAUCCGGAACUGUCAGGCUAGAGUGCAGGAGAGGAAGGUAGAAUUCCCGGUGUAGCGGUGAAAUGCGUAGAGAUCGGGAGGAAUACCAGUGGCGAAGGCGGCCUUCUGGACUGACACUGACGCUGAGGUGCGAAAGCGUGGGUAACAAACAGGAUUAGAUACCCGAGUAGUC